AAUUUGUUUUGGUUUGUUUUUAAGAAGCAAGAACUCUGAUAUUUGUUUCCAUUGUGAUUUGUAUGUCAAACUCUCAAAGCUAAGAUUUUAGGAUUUUUUAUUUUAAACAUACACAUUUCUAGAAUGUUGCAGUGUCUUAACGUCGUUUCUUUAGUGUUUCCAAAUUUAGAAUGUUUAUGGGGCACGAGUGGCUUUUAUGGAAUUAAGAAGCUGUUGUUAUAUUCCUAGCUGGUGUUUGAGGUGAUUAACUUUGCUCGCAUAAAUGAUGGAAGAAAUUUGCUCAUCAAGAAACCUGCAAUUGCAAUUUUAAGAUUGCUUUCAUGAACAUAUUUGAGGGUAAUAAGUGUAACUGGAAACCACGAUACGAGAUUUGGUCAACCAAUCUUGCAAUUAUUUGAGAUACUUCUCUUUUAUUUCAGCAAAAGGUCAUCCAUUAUGUGGAAUAUAUUCUCAUGAAGGGGCUUAAAAGAAAGUGAAUAAUAAUAUAUUUUGCCUUAAAUGGCACAAAAUACUGUUUUGGGGGAGCGAUAUAUUUUUUUAAUUUGGUACUUGGGAAAAAAUAGUUUAACCAGAACGUCAUUUUGCUCUUUAUAACUUCUUAUGAUGACUAUUAAGAUUUAUGUCAGAAAUUAUGAUUCAGGUACACACCCCCUCACCGCUUUUGUUAAUACGAGGUCUCAAUCACCAUGUAUUCACUAUUCACUCAAGCAAAACUCUUACUGAACUCCAAUUACGUUUUGACUGAAUCACAUAAGAUUUUUUCUUAAGAAAGAACAUUGAGCGAGGUUCAUUGUUUUAGUUGUUCGUAAUUUCUUUUAGGUUAGGGCGGAAUGGGGGGACAACAAAAAAACGGCAACCCAACCCCCCUAAAAAACGAACAAACAAAGCACUCUGCCUAUAUAUAGUCACUGCUAUGUACUUAAUGGUAUAGCAUGAAUAAUACACGCACCCAAGAUAUAAAUGCUCAUGCACUACUACAAAUUGAACAAACGGCAAUAAAUACGUAUGUGUACACAUAGACACACAGAGAGCCCUACAGAGGUGUCUAUCCGUGCGGUAGAGUCUGUAGAAGCUUCUCGGCGGUUUUGUGUAUUUGAAUUUUCUUGUUUUGAAUACCGCCCCCCCCCCCCCCCCCCCCCCCCCCCCCCCAUCCGCCCCAUGAUGAAGAUGUCUGGGUAAAUGGGUCAAAAAGUGGUGGAGAACUGGGUUAGAAAGAGGUGAAGGUGAAGAUCAUUAGAGGUUUUAGGGCUGGCUGUGGUUGUUUUGCUGGGUUUGUGUGACUGUGCCCAGAGGGCGGAGUUCCUGCACAUUCCUACCUCACCGGAGAACCUGCCCUCAACUCCACUGCAGCUACUCCAGAGAGAUGGGACCCUCCAGAAGAAACCUGCCCAGCAAUCCCAGCAAGCCUUCCCGCCAGAAGGAUGCAAGGAGAACCUGCUUCUACCUGCACGAUGGCACUUGAGAAUGGGAGUCUUCCACCGGCACAGGAUCACUGGAGGCAAACAUCGAAUUAAUUGGAUCUCACUGACUGAGAUCUCUCAUCCUGUCUGCUGAGAGGGUUGAACUGUAAAUCUGCCUCAAAUGAUGCACCCCUAAAAUGUAGUUCCAAGCCACCUAUCAAGUAUCUGGAGGAAGAAGGUGACGUGACAAGAAACGCCUGACAGGCAAAGUGGGGAACUGUCCAGGAAAAGGAUCCGUGAUGAAUGAGGUCUGCGUGAUCACGAUGCAACGGCAGAACAGGACAGAGUGCUGCCACCAAAUGCUGGUUUUUGUUCCCCAGAACCGAAAAGAAAAAUGGAGAGGGGGAGGCGAUGGCGUUAAGAGGGAGAGAUCGAAGAAGUUAGUGACUGUCUGCAAUGUAAACACGAGUCCAUCAUCUCCUCUGGAAAAGGGGAGGCUACGUUUGUCAAACACUGUAGAGCCCAGCGAGAGGCAGGGGCGGCACCGGACCGCUCCGAAAUGCUGCCGUGAAAUCUGGAUCCAAGAUGAAUCUAAGGCCAGUACUACACAAGUCACAUGUCCGAGGUUAAGCCAGCCUCUUUGAUAGUUGACCAAAAAUCGUAGGGAAGAAUAUUUGCCCCUGGGUAAGGAAUCGCUGGGAGGGGGGAGGGGGGAGAACUCAGGGUGGGAGAAGCGAGAAAGACGGGACGAGAUAAACCAAAUGACACUAAAACUGCAAACAAGAUUUAAUUCCUUGGGUAACUUUGUGCAGAUCUGUCUUACUCGGCCUUGGCGGGAAAGGCUGCCGCGGCGAGCAUGUAACUUCCAGUGUUGUUUUUGACCGUGCACUGUAUUGCCAUAAUGCCAAUAAACGCAUACAAUGCGUCUGACCAGCGGCCAGCAGAUGAUCCAUCUUCUUAGGCUCGGAGUACAGGAGGUCCAUCCCCUGCCAGGGCUACGAGGCCGUUCCCUACCUUUGGGUACUUUGGUGCUGUGGGAAAAUAAGGGUGGAUGGGUGAGGAGCUGUUUGCCCCGGCCGCUGGGUUUUCAUUUCUUGGAGGGGCCAUUCUCGGUUUGCUUCGUUUCGGCGAGACCAGGAUUUCAGGACUUGUAAGUGCAGCGGCCAGAACCACCCUUGACAGAAUUUUGCCCCACUUAGCGGCUGCCUAUAAAGAGAAGCAGCUCUCCCAGGGAUGAAUUCGCUGGUGUGAACCAUGGUGCAUAUCGCUCACCCUUCCAGCAAACGCCAGCAGAUGGAUGCAAUUAAACCUCGGCGAUCCUUCGCGGCCGGACACUGAUACAGCGUGUGAGACGGUUGGCCAUUGUGCAGUGCCUAUGGUCUAGUACUCACCCCCGGCAGCUGCAAUAGGAAGGAGGAAAGAAACGCGGGUACUUCCAGCUUCUCCUUCCCACGGCGAGGGAAGCACAGAAGGACCCCAAAAAGUUCCAAAAGGGCCAGAAAACGAGAAAAAGAAGGAAAACUGAACACGUGUUGGGAGCAUUCAGAUUUCCGUGUAAUAUUAUAAAUAAUAAUAAAAUCCCAGCGAAACAA